UGUAGUGCGUACACACAAGAUGUCAUCGGACGAUGCUUCAGCCGUACUUGGCCUACUAUUAAUUUUAAAAAAGAAUAAUAAAACCCAAAAUAAACGUUAAGAGUGGUUGAAAAAGAGAAAUGUUUAUUUCCAUGUACAAUUAUUAAAUGAACUAAAAGUUUUUCCUAAGCAUUGACACAAGUAUCUCAGAAGAAACAUAUUUCAUGAUUUCAUAUGAACUAGUCAACCUUUCUUUUUGGGCAAUUUUCGAUUUUUCACGAAUUCACGGAUAUAUAGGAAUGCAAAAUACGGAUAUACGGGUACGAAUGCAUAGACAACUGCGAUACGACUGACGGUUAUUACCUACACACGUUCAGUUUAAUUACAGUUAAAACUGAUAAUGUGUAACCAUUAAGGGUGUUUACAUCUGAAAAAGUAUUAUUAUUAAUUUACCUAUAUUAUAUAAUAAUUUAAUGACUAUUUUUGUGGUACCUAUUAUAAGUUAUCCCAAUCUUUUUUGUUCCUGAUUUGAUAAACUCAGAAUUGUCCGUUCUUGUGUACAAGGAUAUCUAAAUUAUUUGUCACCAUAAAUUUAAAUCCUUUGUAAUUUGCUAUUUUUUUCGAUUUACCAAAUAAUACUCUUUUAUAUUUUGUUAAGUAGCCAUUGUAUGUCAUUAUAUGUUUAUAUAAUUAAUGUAAAAACAUUAAUUAUAAUUUAAAUGGUUAUAUAUAAUAAUUGUUGAAAAAAAAAUUAUAUUGUUUUGUUAUAGGUGGAGUAAAAAUUAAGUUUAUAGAAAGGAACAGAUAAACAUUUAGAAAAUGUUGAUGAUACUUGGCUGGC